GUAGGUGGCAAGCGUUGUCCGGAAUUAUUGGGGCGUAAAGCGCGCGCAGGCGGUUCUUUAAGUCUGAUGUGAAAGCCCACGGGCUCAACCGUGGAGGGUCAUUGGAAACUGGAGAACUUGAGUACAGAAGAGGAAAGCGGAAUUCCACGUGUAGCGGUGAAAUGCGUAGAGAUGUGGAGGAACACAGUGGCGAAGGCGGCUUUCUGGUCUGUAACUGACGCUGAGGCGCGAAAGCGUGGGGAGCAAACAGGAUUAGAUACCCUGGUAGUCCACGCCGUAAACGAUGAGUGCUAAGUGUUAGGGGGUUUCCGCCCCUUAGUGCUGCAGCUAACGCAUUAAGCACUCCGCCUGGGGAGUACGGCCGCAAAGGCUG
rnacentral:rRNA from 1 species